GCAGCGCGGGAGCAAUCCUGGCGGCGAGUGGCGAACGGGUGAGUAAUACAUCGGAACGUGCCCAAUCGUGGGGGAUAACGCAGCGAAAGCUGUGCUAAUACCGCAUACGAUCUACGGAUGAAAGCAGGGGAUCGCAAGACCUUGCGCGAAUGGAGCGGCCGAUGGCAGAUUAGGUAGUUGGUGAGGUAAAGGCUCACCAAGCCUUCGAUCUGUAGCUGGUCUGAGAGGACGACCAGCCACACUGGGACUGAGACACGGCCCAGACUCCUACGGGAGGCAGCAGUGGGGAAUUUUGGACAAUGGGCGCAAGCCUGAUCCAGCCAUGCCGCGUGCAGGAUGAAGGCCUUCGGGUUGUAAACUGCUUUUGUACGGAACGAAACGGCUCUUUCUAAUAAAGAGGGCUAAUGACGGUACCGUAAGAAUAAGCACCGGCUAACUACGUGCCAGCAGCCGCGGUAAUACGUAGGGUGCAAGCGUUAAUCGGAAUUACUGGGCGUAAAGCGUGCGCAGGCGGUGAUGUAAGACAGUUGUGAAAUCCCCGGGCUCAACCUGGGAACUGCAUCUGUGACUGCAUCGCUGGAGUACGGCAGAGGGGGAUGGAAUUCCGCGUGUAGCAGUGAAAUGCGUAGAUAUGCGGAGGAACACCGAUGGCGAAGGCAAUCCCCUG
rnacentral:rRNA from 1 species